UUGCUUCGGCAGCACAUAUAGUAAAUUAGAACAGUACAGAGAAGAUUAGCAUGCCCCUGCACAAGGAUGACAUGCAAACUUAUAAAGCAUUCCAUAGUUUU
ensembl:snRNA U6 U6 spliceosomal RNA